rnacentral:rRNA from 1 species
GAUGAACGCUGGCGGCGUGCCUAAUACAUGCAAGUCGAGCGAACGGACGAGAAGCUUGCUUCUCUGAUGUUAGCGGCGGACGGGUGAGUAACACGUGGAUAACCUACCUAUAAGACUGGGAUAACUUCGGGAAACCGUAGCUAAUACCGGAUAAUAUUUUGAACCGCAUGGUUCAAAAGUGAAAGACGGUCUUUCUGUCACUUAUAGAUGGAUCCGCGCUGCAUUAGCUAGUUGGUAAGGUAACGGCUUACCAAGGCAACGAUGCAUAGCCGACCUGAGAGGGGGAUCGGCCAAACUGGAACGGAGACACGGUCCAGACUCCUACGGGAGGCAGCAGUAGGGAAUAUUCCGCAAUGGGCGAAAGCAUGACGGAGCAACGCCGCGUGAGUGAUGAAGGUCUUCGGAUCGUAAAACUCUGUUAUUAGGGAAGAACAUAUGUGUAAGUAAAUGUGCACAUCUUGACGGUACCUAAUCAGAAAGCCACGGCUAACUACGUG